GAUGAACGCUGGCGGCGUGCCUAAUACAUGCAAGUCGAGCGAACGGACGAGAAGCUUGCUUCUCUGAUGUUAGCGGCGGACGGGUGAGUAACACGUGGAUAACCUACCUAUAAGACUGGGAUAACUUCGGGAAACCGGAGCUAAUACCGGAUAAUAUUUUGAACCGCAUGGUUCAAAAGUGAAAGACGGUCUUGCUGUCACUUAUAGAUGGAUCCGCGCUGCAUUAGCUAGUUGGUAAGGUAACGGCUUACCAAGGCAACGAUGCAUAGCCGACCUGAGAGGGUGAUCGGCCACACUGGAACUGAGACACGGUCCAGACUCCUACGGGAGGCAGCAGUAGGGAAUCUUCCGCAAUGGGCGAAAGCCUGACGGAGCAACGCCGCGUGAGUGAUGAAGGUCUUCGGAUCGUAAAACUCUGUUAUUAGGGAAGAACAUAUGUGUAAGUAACUGUGCACAUCUUGACGGUACCUAAUCAGAAAGCCACGGCUAACUACGUGCCAGCAGCCGCGGUAAUACGUAGGUGGCAAGCGUUAUCCGGAAUUAUUGGGCGUAAAGCGCGCGUAGGCGGUUUUUUAAGUCUGAUGUGAAAGCCCACGGCUCAACCGUGGAGGGUCAUUGGAAACUGGAAAACUUGAGUGCAGAAGAGGAAAGUGGAAUUCCAUGUGUAGCGGUGAAAUGCGCAGAGAUAUGGAGGAACACCAGUGGCGAAGGCGACUUUCUGGUCUGUAACUGACGCUGAUGUGCGAAAGCGUGGGGAUCAAACAGGAUUAGAUACCCUGGUAGUCCACGCCGUAAACGAUGAGUGCUAAGUGUUAGGGGGUUUCCGCCCCUUAGUGCUGCAGCUAACGCAUUAAGCACUCCGCCUGGGGAGUACGACCGCAAGGUUGAAACUCAAAGGAAUUGACGGGGACCCGCACAAGCGGUGGAGCAUGUGGUUUAAUUCGAAGCAACGCGAAGAACCUUACCAAAUCUUGACAUCCUUUGACAACUCUAGAGAUAGAGCUUUCCCCUUCGGGGGACAAAGUGACAGGUGGUGCAUGGUUGUCGUCAGCUCGUGUCGUGAGAUGUUGGGUUAAGUCCCGCAACGAGCGCAACCCUUAAGCUUAGUUGCCAUCAUUAAGUUGGGCACUCUAAGUUGACUGCCGGUGACAAACCGGAGGAAGGUGGGGAUGACGUCAAAUCAUCAUGCCCCUUAUGAUUUGGGCUACACACGUGCUACAAUGGACAAUACAAAGGGCAGCGAAACCGCGAGGUCAAGCAAAUCCCAUAAAGUUGUUCUCAGUUCGGAUUGUAGUCUGCAACUCGACUACAUGAAGCUGGAAUCGCUAGUAAUCGUAGACCAGCAUGCUACGGUGAAUACGUUCCCGGGUCU
rnacentral:rRNA from 1 species